rnacentral:rRNA from 1 species
GACGAACGCUGGCGGCGUGCUUAACACAUGCAAGUCGAACGGAAAGGCCCUGCUUUUGUGGGGUGCUCGAGUGGCGAACGGGUGAGUAACACGUGAGUAACCUGCCCUUGACUUUGGGAUAACUUCAGGAAACUGGGGCUGAUACCGGAUAGGAGCUCCUGCUGCAUGGUGGGGGUUGGAAAGUUUCGGCGGUUGGGGAUGGACUCGCGGCUUAUCAGCUUGUUGGUGGGGUAGUGGCUUACCAAGGCUUUGACGGGUAGCCGGCCUGAGAGGGUGACCGGCCACAUUGGGACUGAGAUACGGCCCAGACUCCUACGGGAGGCAGCAGUGGGGAAUAUUGCACAAUGGGCGGAAGCCUGAUGCAGCAACGCCGCGUGCGGGAUGACGGCCUUCGGGUUGUAAACCGCUUUCGCCUGUGACGAAGCGUGAGUGACGGUAAUGGGUAAAGAAGCACCGGCGAACUACGU